rnacentral:rRNA from 1 species
UACGUAGGGUGCGAGCGUUAAUCGGAAUUACUGGGCGUAAAGCGUGCGCAGGCGGUUGUGCAAGACAGAGGUGAAAUCCCCGGGCUUAAUCUGGGAAUGGCCUUUGUGACUGCACGGCUAGAGUGUGUCAGAGGGGGGUAGAAUUCCACGUGUAGCAGUGAAAUGCGUAGAGAUGUGGAGGAAUACCGAUGGCGAAGGCAGCCCCCUGGGAUAACACUGACGCUCAUGCACGAAAGCGUGGGGAGCAAACAGG